GCUGCGGGUCACUCACACCUGCCGCUGUGAAAUGCAGACCCGCGGGGCAGGAAUUCCGAGUACCGGCUGGAGCGCGAUCUGAAAUCUGACUCUCUUGAAACAGCACCGCGGAGGAUUUGGAGCCGGAAGCUGCGAGGUCAAGUAACAGAGAACAUGAGCUUCUACCUCCAGAUGUGCCAGGGUGUGACUCUUGGGUACAAGAACAAGGGUUUCGUUUUGUUUUACAAAAUCAAAGUACAAAUCUCAAAUAGGAUAAUAUUUUUAAACCGUUAUUGGGGCAUACUUUGCAUGCAAUAAAUGUAUCUAUUUGAAAUGUACAGCUCAUUGAGUUUUACUCUUUGGCUGUUUUACACACCCACGUAUCCACUGCCACAAUGAAGAUUAAUAACAUUUCCAUAGUACCCUAAAGAACAGCCAUGCGAUAAAAUUCCA